rnacentral:rRNA from 1 species
GACAGAGGGUGCAAACGUUGUUCGGAAUUACUGGGCGUAAAGAGCUUGUAGGCGGUUUGUCGCGUCUGCUGUGAAAUUUCGGGGCUCAACCCCGAACUUGCAGUGGGUACGGGCAGACUAGAGUGUGGUAGGGGAGACUGGAAUUCCUGGUGUAGCGGUGAAAUGCGCAGAUAUCAGGAGGAACACCGAUGGCGAAGGCAGGUCUCUGGGCCAUAACUGACGCUGAGAAGCGAAAGCAUGGGGAGCGAACAGG